rnacentral:tRNA from 1 species
GCCCUGGUGGUGGAAUUGGUAGACACAAGGGAUUUAAAAUCCCUCGACGUUCGCGUUGUGCUGGUUCAAGUCCGGCCCGGGGCA